rnacentral:rRNA from 1 species
AACGAACGCUGGCGGCAGGCUUAACACAUGCAAGUCGAACGCCCCGCAAGGGGAGUGGCAGACGGGUGAGUAACACGUGGGAACCUUCCUCGUUGUACGGAACAACUCAGGGAAACUUGAGCUAAUACCGUAUACGUCCGAGAGGAGAAAGAUUUAUCGCAAUGAGACGGGCCCGCGUCGGAUUAGCUAGUUGGUGGGGUAACGGCCUACCAAGGCGACGAUCCGUAGCUGGUUUGAGAGAACGACCAGCCACACUGGGACUGAGACACGGCCCAGACUCCUACGGGAGGCAGCAGUGGGGAAUCUUGGACAAUGGGCGCAAGCCUGAUCCAGCCAUGCCGCGUGAGUGAAGAAGGCCUUCGGGUUGUAAAGCUCUUUUGUCAGGGACGAUAAUGACGGUACCUGAAGAAUAAGCCCCGGCAAACUUCGUGCCAGCAGCCGCAGUAA